UCUCCGUUGGUGAACCAGCGGAGGGAUCAUUACAGAGUUGCAAAACUCCCAAACCAUCGUGAACAUACCCAAAUAUCGUUGCUUCGGUGGGCGGCGGCCCCCGGGGGUUAUCAACCCCGGGCGUCUGCCCCCCGGCCUCCCCCCCUUCGACGGGGCGGGGGGGUGCCCGCCGGAGGUCCUACAACCAUCGUAUCUUAUGUGGCCUCUCUGAGUUAUAGUGAAUGAAGUCAAAACUUUCAACAACGGAUCUCUUGGUUCUG
rnacentral:misc_RNA from 1 species